GAGUGUGGUGCCUGAUAAAAGGAUAGUUUUGAUAGGACUAACCAUGUAGAAACCUACCCACACU
rnacentral:tRNA from 1 species